AUAUUGUCUUUGAUAGUGGGGAGGUCAUUGAUGGAAAGAGUAAGAGAAGCGGGCCAAGAUGACCUUGAGGAAAACCGGAAUGAGCGAGAGUUGUUAGUUAUUGUCUGGGCUCUAGGCCCUUUACUUUUGCUGAAUCAGAUAGAGACACGAAUGCAAAUCAUGCAAUCAAUGCAAUGCAAUCAAACAAUGGAAGGCCUUCAUCGAUGAACACAACGCAGAAGUGUUCUACAAACCAGGCAAA